UCUCGAGACCCAACCGUGCUCAUUUGCAGCGGGUAAGGAAGGCGGAUUCGCUGGGAAGUGGACCAUUGGAUUAGCGCGUUGCGUGACGAGCGAGAUCUCGCAGCCACAUCAUCCUGCAACAUACGCGCGCGCCUGUCCUGCUCCAGCAGCCGGGUUUGGUGGAGCGGUCGCAUGACAGGGGGCGGUCGCUGGCUGAUCAAGGCUUGCCCGCGUCAUCCGCGCCGCCUGCGCCCCCUCGAUGCAGCGAAAAAGCCGCGCAGAGUGGCGGCCGGGGCUCGCCAGCGGUGACCUCGGGUAAGGCCAGACCCCGAACGUCGAGCUCGACUCGACCUUGCGGGGCACGCAUGCCUCAGAACCACGUUGGUGCCUCGCGGCGCGCCGCCGAUGCUGCCGUCGUAUGCCUCAGCGGCCCAAAUAACAGCGAGAGUGUCGCUGUAUGGACGCGUUUUUUUUCCCACGUUCCCACGCAGUCAUCGGAUGCCUGGGCCACUGCUCACCCGAGGGUGGGGAGCAGCUGAGCCUGAGUUCGAAGAACUCGGCAUCAUUGAGGCACGCGCACACAGAUUUGCGCCACAUUUUCAGUUUCUCCUCGCCCGAAAUUAUCACCACAAAGGGCCGUAGCGCGCUACAGGCGCGGGGAAGACAAGAGUGCACUUUGCCCACGCUGAAGCAACUCUGUGCUGGCUGCUUUUAUGGAUUGAAUCGCUGGAUCCAAAGAGCACCCCGAGAGAACCACGGGCGUUUAUGGCUGGGCCGCCGGCGUCACGGAUGCCUGUGAGCACGCUCUAUGGGCAGCUCGCAGCCGUACUGGCCAACGCCGUGGUGGAAGCAACGACGGGGGGGGGUCAGCGCAAAAGGGUGGCGGCAGGCAUGGUGAGAAACACGCGCCGUUUGUUGCGGGCAUGACCGCCAAAUAUGAAAGGCGACAUUUCGGAGCCUGUGCCGUCUGCCGGCGGCCACGGCGCCGAUGCGCAUUGCCAAGCGAAACGACUGGAAGAUGAGUCAGGACGCCGCUUCCAACCGACUGGCCGAAGCAGGGCUCCACCCAAGACGUCGCGUGGCGGGGCUGGGGCGCUUUUUUGGGGAAUCUCCGUAGCCUGCGCGUGGGCUUACGCGGGGGAGUUCCAACCCCAGACCCGCCAUACUUAGCGAGCGGGCCCAGCCGCCCCUCCCCGCCCCCUCCCCCCCUCUGCGCGGAGGAGCCUCGACAUCCGCUCACCACGCGGGCCCGAGGGACGACCCCUUCUAGCGGACGGGCGAAGCACAUGCCACCGCACAGCGGCGCGGAGGGCUGAGCAGCAGCGGGCCUCCGCAUGGCCGGGAGGGGCGCGCAGCACCGGUGAGACCCAAAAGCGCAAUAAGAAGCGGUGGCGAAUCACCCCCUGAAGGAACCGAACGGGCGAAGUGGCCUCCACGCGGCAAGGCCCGAAUCCCACCCGCGGCCCAUUCGCACGCGCCAAACACACCCUCCCUCGUGCCAAGUCUGUGGCUUUCUCCGCCGUUGCGGGGGGGGGUCGUAGGCCGGCGGCCCCCCCCCCCCCCCCCACGAUGGUGCCCCGCGGCGCACCCGAAAGAAGCAACGGCACCAAGGGCUGGGAGUGUGACGUUGCGAGGAGCAGCGGAUGGCUCUGCCCCCGCAGCCCCUUUAGCGCGCAACAGAAAGGCACACGCCACAUGGCCACCCAAGAUCUCGACAGCACAAAAGAAAAAGCACGGCGGGCUUCUUCGGAGAUGGAGGACAAACCGUGGGGGUGGCGAACGCGCCUUUCAUGCCUCUGGCAUACGGGAGGCUUUUUGCGCGAAGCGAUGCAGGAGUCGGGGCAGCGGCGCGGACUUGCCUCAGCGAGAAAAGGUGCUGCAAGGCGCAUGGCAGACGGCGCACUCUCAGCGGACCAGCCGACGUGCAGGACGGGUCCUACGUAACGCUGCGGCGGUACCUGGGGUAUUGGUCGCCAUCUUACGAUGAAGGACGUGGCCACGCGGGAUGUCGUCGCCGCGGUCCUCCACGGGAGGAGAGGAGGCUACGAGCAAGUGCCCCAGAGCAGCAGGGCCUCGCGAUUAGUGAAACGCAGUUGCUGCGCCUUUUUCGUGAAAAAGGAGGGAAAGUUCCACUGGCGCCGCCGCGAGUGGAGGGAUGCCCCCUGCCCCCCCCCCUCCCCCCAAAAAAAGGCGACAAGGUUGUGCGAUGAAGAGAGAAUUGUGAGGAUGGAAGCGCGGCAUCAUAACUCCGAAAGGUUCUGCAACUGCGCUUAGCGCCCCAUGCUUCGAUAGGCCUUGGCCGCUCUGCGAGCUUCACGCACCUUCAGAAAACUGCAGGAAGGCAGGCGCAUAUCUCACUAGAGUCAUGCAGAUGGGCAGGCUGGAACCCGCGCAAAAGGAUGAAAUUAUGCGCGAGUAAUCUCUUGGGCGUGACGCGCACGGCGCGCAUACGUUUGCGGUCGAGGAAAAGGAAGGCGGACACAGACGCAUAACAGAGUUGAACUUUGAGCGCUGUCUGCACCAGCGAGUGCUGCCCCCCGCCUGACCUGCCCGACUCGGAAAGAAAGCGGGCAUAUCUUGAACAGGCGCAAGUGGCGUUUGCGCGCUGGAUUUCGAUGCGUAUUAUGACGCUGUCCUCUUACCUGGGAAUAGGAGAGCGAAGUGCAUUAUCCGGAGGAGUGGUGAAUACGACCGACUGCGCACAACUCCAACAAGGGGAAGAUGGGGCGUGACGGUGAGCCAGUCGAUUACACGGGUGUGGGGUGAUAUCGAUAUUUUGCGCAGCAUCAUACCAUGUCUUGACAGCAUCGUGAUUGCAUCGCCGCCAGCUAGGCAGGCCGAGCUUCUCGACAUGGUAGGCAAGGGGCUACUACGUAUUGGCGUAGUUAAUCUGCUCACCGCCCCAAAUCGCGAACCACCUCUAGAGGCAGAUGAUACCGGGCUGCUGCGCAUCGGAAAUAAAGGUGGAACUCUCCUUGGGGAGGACUAUGACUGGACGUGGAUCGGAUAGGAUGGUUCGCAGCUCCGUAUGACCCAUAGCGAAGCUGCAGCUUUCAAUGGAAAAGAGGUCGCUCUCACCUCUGCGCGUCACGAAGGCAGAUGGAAAGCUCUGGGGAGAGAGAUGGGUGCGGAUCCCAUAGUCGCUGCACGAAAUCGUACUUGAAGUUAGUCGAUACGUGAUGCAGCGGGACGACCGCGCUGUGCCCGCAAGCGAACCCGCUGCGAAUCCCAUAUCGCCUUUUCCUCUUCUCGUUUUCCCACUGCUUAGUUGGGUCGCCAUCUGCGUUGACGAGCAGUAUAUAGUUGUUGUCCUUGCGCAAGCGCGCAUUCUUAUCUUUUUCAAUCUUUCACCCGCCCCAACUCUAAAGCGGGCUGCCCUCAGGUGCCUGCUGACUCUGCUGCUGCGGCAUUCAAUCACCCGAUCACCACAACCACCCCUGCCGCCGCCGGUUCUUUAGUCGCUCCUGCUCCGUUUCCGCUCUCCGCUCUGCUUUCCUUUUCGUUUCCCUUUUUUUUUGCUUUUGUGUGUGCCGCACUGUUUUCCGUUCCUGCGCUGACGUGCGCGCGUGUGUGUCUCCGCGACAGGCGGGGAGACGGCGCGUCGCCGUCGGCGUAUUUCUUCUUGAGGUGAAGAGCAACACGAAGUGCUUCGUCGAUCCAUCGUGUCGCUCGGCCGCAAAGUGCCGCAAUGAGCGCAUAUCGUAUGCUGCGAGUGCGACUGUGAGAGGGCACCUUUUCGUGUGUCGUUGCCCGCGGGUAUCUUGUGCAGGGCCAAAGGGGACGCUUCUUAUGACCUAAGGCUUCCGUGCAACAAUGGAAAGGCUGGAAGAAGGGGUCUCUCCGCGGCGCUCGUGGGCGGAGGAAUGACGUGCGCUAAAGCCGAAAACGAAAAUAGUUGGUCUUUGUGGCUCUCAGAGACCGGAGUCGACCAACCCGAGCCACACGAGGUCAUUCCACAUCUCCCACCUCUCUCAUCCCCCCGUAUUAACGAAUCCGACGAGCGCCAUUGCAUUUUGUGGCGUACCCAGUGGCUGAUGCGCUUCAACGCACGUU
rnacentral:misc_RNA from 1 species